GACGAACGCUGGCGGCGUGCUUAACACAUGCCAGUCGAACGGAAAGGCCCUGCUUUUGUGGGGUGCUCGAGUGGCGAACGGAUGAGUAACACGUGAGUAACCUGCCCUUGACUUUGGGAUAACUUCAGGGAACUGGGGCUAAUACCGGAUAGGAGCUCCUGCUGCAUGGUGGGGGUUGGAAAGUUUCGGCGGUUGGGGAUGGACUCGCGGCUUAUCCGCUUGUUGGUGGGGUAGUGGCUUACCAAGGCUUUGACGGGUAGCCGGCCUGAGAGGGUGACCGGCCACAUUGGGACUGAGAUACGGCCCAGACUCCUACGGGAGGCAGCAGUGGGGAAUAUUGCACAAUGGGCGGAAGCCUGAUGCAGCAACGCCGCGUGCGGGAUGACGGCCUUCGGGUUGUAAACCGCUUUCGCCUGUGACGAAGCGUGAGUGACGGUAAUGGGUAAAGAAGCACCGGCUAACUACGUG
rnacentral:rRNA from 1 species